rnacentral:rRNA from 1 species
AUGGCGACCGGCGCACGGGUGAGUGACACGUAUCCAACCUGCCGAUGACUCGGGGAUAGCCUUUCGAAAGAAAGAUUAAUACCCGAUGGCAUAGUUCUUCCGCAUGGUGGAACUAUUAAAGAAUUUCGGUCAUCGAUGGGGAUGCGUUCCAUUAGGUUGUUGGCGGGGUAACGGCCCACCAAGCCUUCGAUGGAUAGGGGUUCUGAGAGGAAGGUCCCCCACAUUGGAACUGAGACACGGUCCAAACUCCUACGGGAGGCAGCAUG